CCUACGGGAGGCAGCAGUGGGGAAUAUUGGACAAUGGGGGGAUCCCUGAUCCAGCCAUGCCGCGUGUGUGAAGAAGGCCCUCGGGUUGUAAAGCACUUUCAGUGAGGAAGAACGCCUGGUGGUUAAUACCCAUCAGGAAAGACAUCACUCACAGAAGAAGCACCGGCUAACUCCGUGCCAGCAGCCGCGGUAAUACGGAGGGUGCGAGCGUUAAUCGGAAUUACUGGGCGUAAAGCGCGCGUAGGUGGCUUGAUAAGCCGGUUGUGAAAGCCCCGGGCUCAACCUGGGAACGGCAUCCGGAACUGUCAAGCUAGAGUGCAGGAGAGGAAGGUAGAAUUCCCGGUGUAGCGGUGAAAUGCGUAGAGAUCGGGAGGAAUACCAGUGGCGAAGGCGGCCUUCUGGACUGACACUGACACUGAGGUGCGAAAGCGUGGGUAGCAAACAGGAUUAGAUACCCUAGUAGUC
rnacentral:rRNA from 1 species